rnacentral:misc_RNA from 1 species
UUAACUUGUUUGCUUAUUCUCAGAGAUGCCACUAGGAUACAGGAGAGUUUCAGUGCCUCCGGCGGGCGCCCCCCGGAGAAGGGGGGCUGCGGCCCCGGGCUGGGGCCGCCCGCCGAAGCAACGCCUACGGAUGGGUUCGCGAUGGUUUCAAGUAGCCUUUCGGCUUCCUAUAAUGAUCCCUCCGCUGGUUCACCAACGGAGA